GGCGCUGUAGCCCAACGGCAGAGGCAAUGGACUUCGUAAAUUUCCAGUGAACUUGAUUAAGGGCAGCACUUAUAUUUACGACCAAAAAUCCAUUAAGUGUCGGUUCGAAUCCGACCAGCGCUACCA
rnacentral:tRNA from 1 species